UUCAACCCUAUAUCUUCCACAUUAAGCUUAAGUUAUGAUAAUGAAGUACUGUGACUAACUAAUGUUAAUUAAAUGCCAUGUUCUGCUACACUACAGUGCUUCAUAAAACUAUCUGAGAUGUGUCCGUGCUGAUUCACAUGGUCUGCAAUUGGUGUCUUUCAACAAAACUGCUACCUACAACGUCAUCUGGAGGAAACCCAGAGCAAUCACAACGAAAUACUUCUUAGAGUUCAGACUGUCUUUGAAGUCUCUGACUCAAUUUGCUGAAGCUGGAAUCUCUGCUGAUCAACUCCUACUAAAUUUGGAUGCUGAUGAGUAACAUAUAAUUUCUCUACAGUUUAGUGGCACAGUGGGCACAGCACAAAAGGCGCUAUCUUUCAAUUUCUGUCUUAGGUCAGUAAUUGGUUUGAGGUGUUUUUUCCCCCUCUGUCUCAGCAGAGAUCAUCUUCCCAAAUAAAAGCAGCAAAAAUAGCAUACAGUUGACUCAGUGAUGGUGUAUUGGCCUUUAUGCCAUGAGCAACAUUCACACGUAACUGUGGUUGCUGUUAAAAAUGCUGAAAACUUUUUCCUUUCUUCAGUGAGCAAUAUGAAGUGUAGAAAAAUACAAGAUAAGAUAUGUAGCUUGCCUGCAGUUGUCAGAUGCCGAAGUCACUGGAUGCUGCUGUUUAGAUGUUCUGAAAGAUUUCCAGUGCAGGAAAGGUCUUCCUGGGUCUUUCUGUGAUCUCAGCUUCUUCCUAAGUGUCCAUAGUUGCACAAAUAACAAACUUCUCAGUUGAUUUUUUCAUUUCUGUAUGAGGAUGGGUAACCGCUUGCUUUAUGUGCUGGAUAAAUAUCUAUUAUUAGAUUCAGCUCAGUGUUGGUUGUCUGAACCUAAUUUAUUUUCUGCUUCUAGAUCAGGACAAUGAUUCCUUAAUACCUUAUUAAAAACAUUUGGUACCU
rnacentral:lncRNA from 7 species